UACGUAGGGUGCGAGCGUUAAUCGGAAUUACUGGGCGUAAAGGGAGCGCAGGCGGAUAUAUAAGUUAGAUGUGAAAUCCCCGAGCUUAACUUGGGAAUGGCAUUUAAGACUGUAGAUCUAGAGUUUGUCAGAGGGGGGUAGAAUUCCAAGUGUAGCAGUGAAAUGCGUAGAGAUUUGGAGGAACACCGGUGGCGAAGGCGGCCCCCUGGGAUAGAACUGACGCUCAUGCUCGAAAGCGUGGGUAGCAAACAGG
rnacentral:rRNA from 1 species